rnacentral:lncRNA from 1 species
CUCUGCUCAAUUUGUUUCUUGAAUUAUUGGAUGUAUCCACAGUACUUUGUUUACUUAUGUUUUGUAACUUUUGCACGGGGACUUAUCUUUCUUGGAAUUUUAAGUGGGGAGAUAUUUUGAGGACAGGGUUGCAUUGUUUCAGCAAAGAUGUUCACUCACAUGGGGUGGAGGUGAAGUUAGCAGCCGCCUGGUGCCACGUCGAUUUGACCCAUGCUCUCGAGGUCUUCCAGCAUGAACUCCUGGAGGACUGUUUCUCAUCGGUUCUCAGGGUCAGUGGUUUUCCCUCCACCCAGCACCAAUGCAGGGACAGCUGCUCUCCUUGCUGCUCCUGCUCUGAGGUGGGCUUUAUUUUAAGUCUAAGAUGUCAGAUUUCUGACCUCAUUUUGGAGAGACAUCCGGUUUUGUUUCUGAUGCCCCAUCCUCUGUGCAACUGUCUAAACAGAAAAAUAAAUUCCACUUUGGUUCCCGCCAAUUCCUUAUCGACUGCUGUGGAUUCCAUCCUUCAAUGCCAGCCCAGUAAUGCACUUACAAAGAUGCAUUUUUGUAGGUUUUACCCAACAUCUCAGUUGUUUUCGUUGGGAAGGCUAUUUAGUGUCCCUUAUGUUGAAAGUUGGAAGCGCCUGGCAGCACUAUAGGUGAGAGAGCUGCUCUUCCCCCUUUUCAUCAUCUUCACGCUGGGUCCAGGCCUUCUUCACUCUGUGAUUAAGAUGCCACAAUGGGCCGGGCAUGGUGGCUCAUGCCUGUAAUCUUAGCACUUUAGGAGGCCAAGGUGGGUGAAUCACCCGAGGCCAGGGGUUCAAGACCAACCUUGCCAACAUGGUGAAACUCCGUCUCUACUAAGAGUACCAAAAAUUAGCCCGGCAUGGUGGUGGGUGCCUGUAAUCCCAGCUACUCUGGAAGCUGAGGCAGGAAAAUCGCUUGAACCAAGGAGGUGGAGGUUGCAGUGAGCUGAGAUCACGCCAUUGCACUCCAGCCUGGGCAACAGAAGUAGCUGGGAUUACAGGCACCCACCACCAUGCCGGGCUAAUUUUGGUACUCUUAGUAGAGACGGAGUUUCACCCAUGUUGGUAAGGUUGGUCUUGAACCCCUGGCCUCGGGUGAUUCACCCACCUUGGCCUCCUAAAGUGCUAAGAUUACAGGCAUGAGCCACCAUGCCCGGCCCAUUGUGGCAUCUUAAUCACAGAGUGAAGAAGGCCUGACCCAGCGUGAAGAUGAUGAAAAGGGGAAGAGCAGCUCUCACCUAUAGUGCUGCCAGGCGCCCAACUUUCAACAUAAGGGACACUAAAUAGCUUUCCCAACGAAAACAACUGAGAUGUUGGGUAAACCUACAAAAUGCAUCUUUGUAAGUGCAUUACUGGGCUGGCAUUGAAGGAUGGAAUCCACAGCAGUCGAUAAGGAAUUGGCGGGAACCAAAGUGGAAUUUAUUUUUCUGUUUAGACAGUUGCACAGAGGAUGGGGCAUCAGAAACAAAACCGGAUGUCUCUCCAAAAUGAGGUCAGAAAUCUGACAUCUUAGACUUAAAAUAAAAGCCCACCUCAGAGCAGGAGCAGCAAGGAGAGCAGCUGUCCCUGCAUUGGUGCUGGGUGGAGGGAAACCCACUGACCCUGAGAACCGAUGAGAAACAGUCCUCCAGGAGUUCAUGCUGGAAGACCUCGAGAGCAUGGGUCAAAUCGACGGGCACCAGGCGGCUGCUAACUUCACCUCUACCCCAUGUGAGUGAACAUCUUUGCUGAAACAAUGCAACCCUGUCCUCAAAAUAUCUCCCACUUAAAAUUCCAAGA